GUAGGUGAACCUGCGGAAGGAUCAUUAGUGAUUUGGCCUCCGGGCCUUUAAAACCCAAUCCUCAUACCUCUGUGAACCUGUUGGGCCCCCGGGCCUACCCUUUACAAACACUGUGUAAUGAACGUCUUGUGAUUAUAACCUAAUAAAACUUUCAACAACGGAUCUCUUGGCUCUC
rnacentral:misc_RNA from 1 species